UCCCAGCUACAAUUCUCCUGGCUUGUGUACUCAUGCGUCUUUCAGCAAGUCCCAGGAAAUUGCAAAGUGGAAGAAGAAGGUUUGUUUUCCUGGGUCCUAAUAUAACAUCAUCCCCAACCCCUGGUAUGGCUUGGCUAUAAAUGCUUCCAGGUGUCACAACUGAGUAGACAAUGACUGAACUGAAAAGAACAACACUUGCUGCAAGCAGUCCGAAAUGGAGGGUACGCUACUCAUGACCACAAAGUUUUUCUCUCAAGUUCCAACACUGACACUAUCAUAUAUACAUUGCUGAGGAUGAAUAGUUUUCAUGGGUCAAACUGAAAAAGGCACAAGGAAAAAAGAAGCAUAACAGCAUUGCUUUCCUCCAUCAACCCUUCAGCUUGCCUGAUAACCCCAAAUAUAUAUGCAAAUAGUCUGUUUAUCUGAACUCCAAAGUAAACAAAUAUGUUGAACAUAUUUAUGGUCAUUCAGAAAAUAAAGUUUCAUUGUAUUCAAG